GCCGAUGUAGCUCAACGGUAGAGCACGGCUUUCGUAAAGCCGGGGUUGUGGGUUCGAUUCCCACCAUCGGCU
rnacentral:tRNA from 1 species